UACGUAGGGGGCAAGCGUUAUCCGGAUUUACUGGGUGUAAAGGGAGCGCAGACGGCAGUGCAAGUCUGGAGUGAAAGCCCGGGGCUCAACCCCGGGACUGCUUUGGAAACUGCAUAGCUGGAGUGCUGGAGAGGCAAGCGGAAUUCCUAGUGUAGCGGUGAAAUGCGUAGAUAUUAGGAAGAACACCAGUGGCGAAGGCAGCAUACCGGCGCCCUACUGACGCUGAGGCACGAAAGUGCGGGUAUCGAACAGG
rnacentral:rRNA from 1 species